GACGAACGCUGGCGGCGCGCCUAACACAUGCAAGUCGAACGGAGCUGAGAGAAGCUUGCUUUUCUUAGCUUAGUGGCGAACGGGUGAGUAACGCGUGAGUAACCUGCCCUGGAGUGGGGGACAACAGUUGGAAACGACUGCUAAUACCGCAUAAGCCCACGAUCCGGCAUCGGAUUGAGGGAAAAGGAUUUAUUCGCUUCAGGAUGGACUCGCGUCCAAUUAGCUAGUUGGUGAGGUAACGGCCCACCAAGGCGACGAUUGGUAGCCGGACUGAGAGGUUGAACGGCCACAUUGGGACUGAGACACGGCCCAGACUCCUACGGGAGGCAGCAGUGGGGGAUAUUGCACAAUGGGGGAAACCCUGAUGCAGCGACGCCGCGUGGGGGAAGAAGGUUUUCGGAUUGUAAACUCCUGUCGUUAGGGACGAUAAUGACGGUACCUAACAAGAAAGCACCGGCUAACUACGUG
rnacentral:rRNA from 1 species